rnacentral:rRNA from 1 species
UCUACGGGUGGCUGCAGUGGGGAAUAUUGGACAAUGGGCGAAAGCCUGAUCCAGCCAUGCCGCGUGUGUGAAGAAGGCCUUCGGGUUGUAAAGCACUUUCAGUGGGGAAGAAAGCCUUGGGGCUAAUACCCUCGAGGAAGGACAUCACCCACAGAAGAAGCACCGGCUAACUCCGUGCCAGCAGCCGCGGUAAUACGGAGGGUGCGAGCGUUAAUCGGAAUUACUGGGCGUAAAGCGCGCGUAGGCGGUCUGAUAAGCCGGUUGUGAAAGCCCCGGGCUCAACCUGGGAACGGCAUCCGGAACUGUCAGGCUAGAGGGCAGGAGAGGAAGGUAGAAUUCCCGGUGUAGCGGUGAAAUGCGUAGAGAUCGGGAGGAAUACCAGUGGCGAAGGCGGCCUUCUGGACUGACACUGACGCUGAGGUGCGAAAGCGUGGGUAGCAAACAGGAUUAGAUACCCCGGUAGUC